rnacentral:lncRNA from 1 species
CUCCUUUAAAAGGUUAAGUUACGUGCCCAACAUCUCACGGCAGGCAAAGGUCAAUACUGGGGUGAAAGCUCACAACCACAGUGCUCAGGGCUGGGUGUCCCUGGGGGAGUGUUCUUGGCAGAGGCAGGUUAUGUUUAGAUUUGAUUGCUUGGACGUCAGUAGCAGUUUUCGGGAACCCAGCAUAAUCUCCAGCAUUGAUGCUCUUAUCUUAAAAUCCCCUUCCAAGACAGAAGGAGGAUCUGCUUUUCUUAUUGGACCACUUUCAACGAAGGGUCCUUUUCCUCCAGAUUGCUGGCUUACCCACACACUCGAUAGAUAACGGGGUUCCAGGCGCCACAUGGAGACCUGCUGCCCUUAAUUAUGCCUCGGCUGGUAAAAUCCAACCAAACUAAUCACAAAGCACUUGUCCAAUAAAAGAACCCUCUUUUUAUAAUGGAGAAAUUAACUGGGCUUGAGCAGUAGAGAGGUUAGGGAAGCUGCCAUAAAAUAUAAUUAUAAUAAUAAUAAUAUUAACAGUAGUAUACUCUACAUGGCCUCUUGCCUUUCAUCCCAGAUCUGAGAAUGACUGGCUGAUGUUAAUUAAUAUGGUUUGGCCCUGUUGGAACUACACAUGGGGCUAGAAAAUAAAGCAUGGGGUUUUGUUUGUUUGAUUUUUUAUUUGGGGUCCUAUCCUGCUUCUCUACCUGGGGGGUGGAGGUGGUGGGAUUAACAUUUUCAUCCUUCUCAUUGGGUUGAACAGAAGGAACAUUCUGACAGCUCUCCAGAAGCCUGUGUUUGCCUUAAUGGUGCUGCAUACUUCACCAUAGUGUGUGUGUUUUCAUUUACGAGGCUUGCUGGACUUGGCCAUGAAGGGGUUGCAAUGGGCUCUUAAGGACCCAGACUGUGGAUGCUGUCACCUUGAG